rnacentral:rRNA from 1 species
CGCGGCCUAUCAGCUUGUUGGUGGGGUGAUGGCCUACCAAGGCUUCGACGGGUAGCCGGCCUGAGAGGGUGUCCGGCCACACUGGGACUGAGAUACGGCCCAGACUCCUACGGGAGGCAGCAGUGGGGAAUAUUGCACAAUGGGCGCAAGCCUGAUACAGCGACGCCGCGUGGGGGAUGACGGCCUUCGGGUUGUAAACCUCUUUCACCUCCGACGAAGCGCAAGUGACGGUAGGAGGAGAAGAAGCACCGGCCAACUACGUGCCAGCAGCCGCGGUAAUACGUAGGGUGCGAGCGUUGUCCGGAAUUACUGGGCGUAAAGGGCUUGUAGGUGGUUUGUCGCGUUGUUCGUGAAAACCGGAGGCUUAACCUUCGGCGUGCGGGCGAUACGGGCAGACUGGAGUACUGCAGGGGAGACUGGAAUUCCUGGUGUAGCGGUGGAAUGCGCAGAUAUCAGGAGGAACACCGGUGGCGAAGGCGGGUCUCUGGGCAGUAACUGACGCUGAGGAGCGAAAGCGUGGGGAGCGAACAGGAUUAGAUACCCUGGUAGUCCACGCCGUAAACGGUGGGUACUAGGUGUGGGUUUCCUUCCUUGGGAUCCGUGCCGUAGCUAACGCAUUAAGUACCCCGCCUGGGGAGUACGG